rnacentral:tRNA from 12 species
UCCCUGGUAGUAUAUCGGUUAGUACACGCGCCUGUCACGCGCGAAAGCGGGGUUCGACUCCCCGCCAGGGAG